GAUGAACGCUGGCGGCGUGCCUAACACAUGCAAGUCGAGCGAACAGAUGAGGAGCUUGCUCCCCUGACGUUAGCGGCGGACGGGUGAGUAACACGUGGAUAACCUACCUAUAAGACUGGGAUAACUUCGGGAAACCGGAGCCAAUACCGGAUAAUAUAUUGAACCGCAUGGUUCAAUAGUGAAAGACGGUUUUGCUGUCACUUAUAGAUGGAUCCACGCCGCAUUAGCUAGUUGGUACGGUAACGGCUUACCAAGGCAACGAUGCGUAGCCGACCUGAGAGGGUGAUCGGCCACACUGGAACUGAGACACGGUCCAGACUCCUACGGGAGGCAGCAGUAGGGAAUCUUGCGCAAUGGGCGAAAGCCUGACGCAGCAACGCCGCGUGAGUGAUGAAGGUCUUCGGGUCGUAAAACUCUUUUAUUAGGGAAGAACAGAUGUGUAAGUAACUAUGCACGUCUUGACGGUACCUAAUCAGAAAGCCACGGCUAACUACGUG
rnacentral:rRNA from 1 species